UACGUAGGGGGCGAGCGUUGUCCGGAAUCAUUGGGCGUAAAGCGCGUGUAGGCGGCCCGGUAAGUCCGCUGUGAAAGUCCAGGGCUCAACCCUGGGAUGCCGGUGGAUACUGUCGGGCUCGAGUCCGGAAGAGGCGAGUGGAAUUCCUGGUGUAGCGGUGAAAUGCGCAGAUAUCAAGGAGGAACACCAAUGGCGAAGGCAGCUCGCUGGGACGUGACUGACGCUGAGAACGCGAAAGCGUGGGGAGCAAACAGG
rnacentral:rRNA from 1 species